rnacentral:rRNA from 1 species
AACCGGGAGAAAUUCCGACUAAUACCGCAUACGUCCUCCGGGGGCAUCCCCGGGGGAUGAAAGAAUUAUCGGUGAAGGAUGGGCAUGCGUGAUAUUAGGUAGUUGGCGGGGCAACGGCCCACCAAGCCCACGAUAUCUAGGGGUUCUGAGAGGAAGGUCCCCCACAUUGGUACUGAGACACGGACCAAACUCCUACGGGAGGCAGCAGUGAGGAAUAUUGGUCAAUGGACGAGAGUCUGAACCAGCCAAGUCGCGUGAAGGAAGACGGAUCUAUGGUUUGUAAACUUCUUUAGUGCGGGAACAAAGCGGUGUCGUGACGCCGGAUGAGUGUACCGCAAGAAUAAGCAUCGGCUAACUUCGUGCCAGCAGCCGCGGUAAUACGGAGGAUGCGAGCGUUAUCCGGAUUUAUUGGGUUUAAAGGGAGCGCAGGCUGCGAGGCAAGUCAGCGGUCAAAUGUCGGGGCUCAACCCCGGCCUGCCGUUGAAACUGUCCUGCUAGAGUUCGAGUGAGGUAUGCGGAAUGCGUUGUGUAGCGGUGAAAUGCAUAGAUAUGACGCAGAACUCCGAUUGCGAAGGCAACAUACCAACUCGCGACUGACGCUGAGGCUCGAAAGCGUGGGUAUCGAACAGGAUUAGAUACCCUGGUAGUCCACGCAGUAAACGAUGA